AUUGCACGCUGGCGGCAGGCCUAACACAUGCAAGUCGAACGAGUGGCGGACGGGUGAGUAAUGUCUGGGAAACUGCCUGAUGGAGGGGGAUAACUACUGGAAACGGUAGCUAAUACCGCAUACCAUCGGAUGUGCCCAGAUGGGAUUAGCUAGUAGGUGGGGUAAAGGCUAACCUAGGCGACGAUCCCUAGCUGGUCUGAGAGGAUGACCAGACAAACUGGCACUGAGACACGUUGCAGACUCCGACGGGAGGCAGCAGUGGGGAAUAUUGCACAAUGGGGGCAAGCCUGAUGCAGCCAUGCCGCGGGUAUGAAGAAGGCCUUCGGUGUGUAAAGUACUUUCAGCGGGGAGGCGGUACCCGCAGAAGAAGCACCGGCUAACUCCGGGCCAGCAGCCGCGGUAAUUC
rnacentral:rRNA from 1 species